rnacentral:tRNA from 3 species
GCCGACUUAGCUCAUCUGGUAGAGCACCUGACUUGUAAUCAGGGGGUGGCGGGUUCAAGUCCUGCAGUCGGCACCA